rnacentral:rRNA from 1 species
GACGAACGCUGGCGGCGUGCUUAACACAUGCAAGUCGAACGGAAAGGCCUGCUUUCCCUUGUGGUUUGCGGGUACUCGAGUGGCGAACGGGUGAGUAACACGGGAGUGAUCUGCCCCCAACUUGGGUAUAAGCCUGGGAAACUGGGUCUAAUUCCCGAUAGGACUGCAGGGUGGUGCCUGUGGUGGGAAACGAUUUUCUAGUGGUUGGGGAUGAGCUCGCGGCCUAUCAGCUUGUUGGUGGGGUAAUGGCCUACCAAGGCGGCGACGGGUAGCCGGCCUGAGAGCGUGGACGGUGACACUGGGACUGAGAUACGGCCCAGACUCGUACGGGAAGCAGCAGUGGGGAAUAUAGGACCAUGGGCGGAAGCCUGCUGCAGCGAGGCGGCGUGGGGGAUGACGGCCUUCGGGUUGUAAACUCCUUUCGACCGAGAGGAAGCCACCUGGUUGGAAGGGUGGUGACGGUAGUGGUAGAAGAAGCACCGGCUAACUACGUG